GACUGCGUACCUUUUGUAUAAUGGGUCAGCGACUUAUAUUCUGUAGCAAGGUUAACCGUAUAGGGGAGCCGCAGGGAAACCGAGUCUUAACUGGGCGUUAAGUUGCAGGGUAUAGACCCGAAACCCGGUGAUCUAGCCAUGGGCAGGUUGAAGGUUGGGUAACACUAACUGGAGGACCGAACCGACUAAUGUUGAAAAAUUAGCGGAUGACUUGUGGCUGGGGGUGAAAGGCCAAUCAAACCGGGAGAUAGCUGGUUCUCCCCGAAAGCUAUUUAGGUAGCGCCUCGUGAACUCAUCUUCGGGGGUAGAGCACUGUUUCGGCUAGGGGGUCAUCCCGACUUACCAACCCGAUGCAAACUACGAAUACCGAAGAAUGUUAUCACGGGAGACACACGGCGGGUGCUAACGUCCGUCGUGAAGAGGGAAACAACCCAGACCGCCAGCUAAGGUCCCAAAGUCAUGGUUAAGUGGGAAACGAUGUGGGAAGGCACAGACAGC
rnacentral:rRNA from 1 species